AUUUUUCUUCUUUCAACUGCCUUUUAGAUAUGUGUUCUUUGUUAAAAUGUCAUUUUUUUCUCUAAAGAUUUCUGUUGAGGCAAAUGUUUGCUUUGCUUUUUAAGAAAGAGUAACUUAGGGAAUCUCAUCUCACCUUUUAGGUUGUUAUGGAGUAUAAUUUCAACAACAGUACAUCUAAUUAUAAAUACUUUUGUCUUUAUUUAGCCAAGACUUUAUUUAGCCAAGAUAUUUUUAAAUAUCGCAGCCAAAUAUCAGGUAUAUGUAGUUACAAGCAGUUUGAUUUAAUUUUUGUGUGCAAGUAUUGCUUCUGAAUAAAACACAAAUGUUUAUGUCAGAUGAAGGUAAAUUCAUUGAAAUUAGCUAGAUAUGACUGUAUCCAGAAAGCAGUCUACUUUUCUUCGUCUUUGCUAAUUCACAGAGUUGGGCGUAUAGCUCUGUUUCACAGGUUUUUCCGCUGUUUCUUCUAAUAAUUCCUUUUCUUCUUCUGGUUUACAUGGUUUUCAGCUAUUUCUUUUUAGAAUCCUCUCAUUUUUCUUGGGAGUACUUGUGAACAUUAGGGGUUGUAUUUCUUUCAGCUUCUAGCUGAAAGCUCUCAUCCUCACUUUUUACCAUUUCCUCCUUUUUUAGUUCCGGUAUCAGCCUAUAGUUUUAAAACCUCACCCCUUUUUUAACUGGGCAGCAGCUGUAUCCAAUUCUUUAUUGUUUGUGCAACAGAUGCAAGUGACUUUUUAUAAUCAGGUUGAAAAUUCAUAUUUAAUCAUCGCUUUUUGAACUUUUCAUGUAAAGAACAUUUCAAUAUUUGAUUAACACAUUUUUCAGUUAUCACAUUUUAUUUUUAACAGAACCUUAGUUUUUCUUGCACAGAUACAGUUUGAUUAUAGUAACUUUUUCUUUUUAUACGAGGUAUAUGAAAAAUUUGAGGGCAAACCCCACUUUAAUGUGUUGCCAUAAUCAAGGAUUUCAAAAUCUACUUUGCAUAUCUUUGUAUACUUGAAUUAGUAUGGAAGCUUGAUAAAAAGAUGAGAUUUGAAGUACUCAACCUGUUAGGAAUAAGUAGUUUUAUUGUUGAUUUAAGCUGGUAGAUUGAAAUAUCUCAGAAUGUUAAAGAGGCAGAGCAGCAGGUUUCAGGUGAUUAAAGAAAAUCCCUCAUCUUGGAGGAACUUGAAGGAACAUGAUGCUAUUUAAGUAGAAUCUAAUCAGGAAGAAGAAAAGCUUGGAAGUAAAAAGACGGAAUGUUUCAUGUCGUUAUUUGCAAAGCAGCUGAACAAAAGUUGAGUACCAGAUGUAUGAGAACACGUGGACUGGAACAUGAUGAUGACCUUCUUUGCUCUGAAGUAUUCAUAUGGAGACGUCACUAUUGGAUGUGGAAUCUGAGCUUUGACACAUGGAGUGCUGCUGUUACUGCCCACUCAUGUAUACUGCUUUCAUUGCUGUAAUUUAUGAUUUUACUUUCUAACUCUGUAAG